CCUACGGGGAGCAGCAGUGAGGAAUAUUGGUCAAUGGACGCAAGUCUGAACCAGCCAUGCCGCGUGCAGGAAGACGGCUCUAUGAGUUGUAAACUGCUUUUGUACGAGGGUAAACGCAGAUACGCGUAUCUGUCUGAAAGUAUCGUACGAAUAAGGAUCGGCUAACUCCGUGCCAGCAGCCGCGGUAAUACGGAGGAUUCAAGCGUUAUCCGGAUUUAUUGGGUUUAAAGGGUGCGUAGGCGGUCGUAUAAGUUAGCGGUGAAAUCCCGGGGCUCAACUUCGGAAUUGCCUCUGAUACUGUUCGGUGAAGGAGUAGUCGUGGUAGGGGAAAUGUAUGGUGUAGCGGUGAAAUGAUUAGAGAUAAUACAGAACACGGAUUGCGAAGGCAGCUUACCAAGCUACUUCUGACGUGGGGGCACGAAAGCGUGGGGAGCAAACAGGAUUAGAUACCCGAGUAGUC
rnacentral:rRNA from 1 species